AUGCAAGUCGACGCCAACGUCUUUUUCGGAAGACGAGGAGCGUGGCGCACGGGUGAGUAACGCGUAAGUAAUCUGCCCUCGCAUUCGGGAUAACGCAGCGAAAGGUGUGCUAAUACCGGAUACGUCUAAGCAAAUAUCUUUUUUUUAGAGAAAGGUGGCCUCUGAUUCAAGCUACUGUGCGGGGAGGAGCUUGCGUACCAUUAGCUUGUUGGUAGGGUAAUGGCCUACCAAGGCAACGAUGGUUAGCGGGUCUGAGAGGAUGAUCCGCCACACUGGAACUGAAACACGGACCAGACUCCUACGGGAGGCAGCAGUGAGGAAUAUUGCGCAAUGGGGGCAACCCUGACGCAGCGACGCCGCGUGGAUGAUGAAGGCCUUCGGGUUGUAAAAUCCUGUCAGAUGGGAAGAAGUGUUAGUUGAUUAAGAGUCAGCUAAUUUGACGGUACCAUCAAAGGAAGCACCGGCUAACUCCGUGCCAGCAGCCGCGGUAAUACG
rnacentral:rRNA from 1 species